GGAAUCUUCCACAAUGGACGCAAGUCUGAUGGAGCAACGCCGCGUGAGUGAAGAAGGUUUUCGGAUCGUAAAGCUCUGUUGUUGGUGAAGAAGGAUAGAGGCAGUAACUGGUCUUUAUUUGACGGUAAUCAACCAGAAAGUCACGGCUAACUACGUGCCAGCAGCCGCGGUAAUACGUAGGUGGCAAGCGUUGUCCGGAUUUAUUGGGCGUAAAGCGAGCGCAGGCGGAAUGAUAAGUCUGAUGUGAAAGCCCACGGCUCAACCGUGGAACUGCAUCGGAAACUGUCAUUCUUGAGUGCAGAAGAGGAGAGUGGAACUCCAUGUGUAGCGGUGGAAUGCGUAGAUAUAUGGAAGAACACCAGUGGCGAAGGCGGCUCUCUGGUCUGCAACUGACGCUGAGGCUCGAAAGCAUGGGUAGCGAACAGGAUUAGAUACCCUGGUAGUCCAUGCCGUAAAACGAUGAGCGCUAGGUGUUGGGGACUUUCCGGUCCUCAGUGCCGCAGCAAAACGCAUUAAGCGCUCCGCCUGGGGAGUACGA
rnacentral:rRNA from 1 species